CGUUAAUAGCAGAGCCAAAUCUAUUUGUUUCGAAAAGCGUCGGCCUGCUAUGCAGCUGCUUCGAACACUAAUUUCUGCAAAUAACUUAAGGUUUCAUUUGCAAGAAGAUUCCAUACACAGAAACCUUCUUAGAAGGAAAGGUCAACAAGAGAAUCAAGUCAAAUAAUGGACUGCGUUUAUGUCCCUAACUGCGAGCGAAAUAAACACAAUGGUAGUAAUAUUUACCGCAUACACCGCGGUGUCAAAUUAAAAUCUCAUAUUUGAAGUGACAGCAAUCCUUAGAGUAAGCCUUUAAGGACCGCCCAAAUUUAAAUCGACCUGAAUGUUUGAAAAUAUUGCGCUGUAAUGUAUUAGGAAAGCCGCAAAACAAGCUGUACGAAGCUUACGAUUACUGAAGACCCACGGAAAGUUAGAAAUGCUUUUCUUCACAUGGCAAACUUGAAUUAAAAAAUCUUGCACUUUGCGCGACAAUUAAUUCAACUAUUUACGAAUUACAGCGUCAAGCCAGAAAAGCACCCUGUUGUGCCGUUCAUUUAUCCUUAAUCGAACAGCGUAUAGAUAUUCUAAAGAAGGUGAAAAAACAAAAGUUGCUUGCUCUCAAUUUAAAUCUGUACAGAUGUCAAGUACUACAGAGUAAUCGAAAACAAUUAACGAAAAAGCGACUUUGACAAAUGUUUGACUGAGGGGCUGUAGUCGUUGUCAGGUACUUCUGGGUUCGAUUUCGGUGCAGCGCAAGCUUCCUCAAAACUGACUGAAAGAACGAUAAAUGCAAAUUUGUACAUGAAAAGGAAACUGUGUUACAUGAACAUCCAAGUGAUCUGCAUUCAAAUACGACAUUGUUGAAACUGAUACAGAUUACAUGCUAGAUUUCAAGCACGGAAAUUAUCAAUGACUGUUAUUAAAUGACUUCCUCAGCCCACGACCACCGACGUAAGCGACGCCAUGUUUGUUUGGGUCAGAUAACGCCACUUAUCAACAGAUACAGAUCCCACAGCUCAUAUACGAUAACAAAGUGUCAUUUGAAGAGUCCACAAAUGAAGGAAAUAGUAAAAGCGAUAUCUCACGAAACGUCAAACAUGCUUCGUUGAUGGACAGACCUGGAGGCCAAGCAAGCUGACCAAACCCAAGUGCACUAAGGAUUUCAUCCUUGGCAAAGUUGGCUCCUUGCGCUUUGUGACAUGAAAAUCAAGACGACCAACCCAUUAUGGGCUUUCAAGGUGGUAGUCGUGUUGCAGAUCAUAGAAACAUUCGGUAUGGCAUUCUACAACCAUAAAUGAGCCUUUAAAAGGUCAAGUAGUGGCAAAUACCAGCGAAGAGGUUCAUUGCCAAGUGAAAUCGAGUCCAAGUUUUCAUUUCAGAGUUCGUGUUUGUGUUUUUGAGUAGACGUCGUUCUGGAGAACGGCAACAACAGAGCUGCAGAAAGAACAAUGUGGUAGGGAACAGUGUAGCUUCAGUCACCUCUAUUUUGUAUUCUUCUUAAUUUCAUUUCAAUUCCAUGCCUUGGACGUGUUGGGCGUUUUAUCUCUUAUUUUGCUGUUAUUAGGACGUGAUAUAGCAAAGCAAAAGAUAUUAAGUUUUGAUUCUUAUCAUAAAUUGGAGACUAUUGGAAUUAUAAGCAUUGCUCAAAUAAAUAAAAAAAAAAAACGACAACAGUGAAUUAGAUGAGGUUUAAGAAUCAAAACGUGCAGUUUUAAGAAUGUAGAAAUAAUAAAGGUAUGACUUUUAAACAUCAAAUUAAGAGACUGUGCUGAUGUGCAAGUUUUCUCAGUAAAUCGCCAGAAAAAAUCUCAAAAUCCAAGGAUGAGACAACUACCAUCGGUUAAGUUGAGGAAAAAACAUUGCAUCAUAUAAUAAGAAAUUUGUAUUGCCGGGUGUAUUGAAGUAAAAUACAUCUCAAGUACAACUGAAAGUUCAUGUCACUGGCAAAAUUGAAAGCCGCCUAUCUCGGCUAACACGAUAUAUGGCACUGUCAAGCUACUUCCGCAGCAACACAGUGAGGGUGAUGCAUUGCCGGCAUUGCACAGUCUGUAAAAGGGUACAACAAACUAUCAACGAGAUCAUUUAAGGGUAACACGAUACAAUUCCUGCAAGCCAACUGCAAGCAAACAAACCCCUGGAUUCCUAGUGGAAAUAGGGGAGCUACGAGCUUCAGUCUUCGCAAAUCCUGAGUGCCACGGCAAAAUAGUCGAGUCAUGAAUAUAGAACACAGACGGAAGCAUUCCCUUUUAAUUGGAUUAAGAUCGAAUUGAGAGGUGUUCAACUGAAGCAUAUUAACUUAACUAAUGAGGAGCUUGAGGAUUACAAAUCUGCUAAAGAGCCUUGUUUAGUUGUGUUAAAGCAAAUGGACCACUGAGUACUGAGAUAAAUGACAAAUUAUAUGGCUAUCAUGAUUCAGGGCUGAAAAUACGACUUAGGUGAAGGCAUUCAUCCAAAUAAUUCUGUCGGCCAUCCGGAGCAUGUUGAUCAAACAUUGAAACUCGGAUAUUCUAUCACCAUGCAGUUACAAGGUGAACUGUCUCAAUAAUUCCAGCAAAAGCCAUCGUACCGUAGCUGAAACUGUUACUUAAGACUGUCUGCUAACAAGAGCCAAGUACUCUACAGAAGUGGAUUACACUAACACACCGUUGAGUUUAACUGAAUACCUUGCCUUUUCACUU